CUUAUCCAAAGGCAAACGGGGAGAAAUCUCCGGACGCAAAGCCGAGGGCCCUAACCUGAUCGUCAGGAAGGGUGGCCGGGUUGCAUAG
rfam:Candidatus Accumulibacter sp. SK-02 contig000049, whole genome shotgun sequence.